rnacentral:tRNA from 1 species
CUAAGGAAUAUACGGAGGCUACACAUACUUGUUGAAACAAUGUUCAGUUUUGAGGGGCUUACCUCUCAACUAAAUGAUUUUGGGCGUAUAGCUCAGCUGGUUUAGAGCGCACGCCUGAUAAGCGUGAGGUCGAUGGUUCGAGUCCAUUUAUGCCCAUUGACCGCAAGGUCAUCAUUAUGGGGAAUUAGCUCAGAUGGGAGAGCACCUGCUUUGCAAGCAGGGGGUCAGCGGUUCGAUCCCGCUAUUCUCCAUUGGCACGAGAGUGCCAAGGAAUUUGUUCUUUGAAAACUAGAUAUUAUCAAUUAUUUUCCUUUAAUUAUUAAGAUAAUUAAACCGAGAAACAACUGCGUAUUUUUGAGUUUUUUAAUUAGUUUAUCGCUAAUACUCAAUUAAUUUGACGAUCACGAAGUGACCGUUA